AGUCAUUGUCGCGCUGUCUACACAACUGGCAGAUGCAACGGGAGGAAUUAUAACGACAUCGUAACGGAUUUUUGAUAAGAACAAGACCUUCUACAAUGGUGUGUGUCUGUCCUUUACGUGCCCUUUUAACUAAAUAAAUCGCGUUUCCCGUGGAAAGUUGUUCACUUUCUAUUGGAAAUAUUCGCUGGUAUGUCGCAUUACUUAUUUAGGUAUGUCCUCCGAUGUGACAGAUAAUAAGCAAGCGAUUGAGAAAAUUAGUAAAAUACGCAAAACUUCAUUUCAUUAUAUGGCGACCACUGGCUGGCAACUCGCCAGCUUCUCGUCGCCAUCGCUACAGCCAGCAAAGGUCCGCCAUACGUAUACUCGCUAAUGGCUCACUUUAUAUGCCCCCUUCGAGGCGAGAGAGUUCCGUCAAGACGUCCAUUGAUCGGUGUACUAUUCUGUGGCUAGCAAUGCAGCGGGUACAAUCGUUUCGGGUGUUGCUGUGGUCAAAGCAGUUGCUGAACAACGCUAUGAGCCGGAUUGAAUUUUGCAUUUUUAUUGGUAGCAAUGUACUAAUUAAAUGCAAUAUACACUUGUUUGUUAAGGAGUAUGGAACGGUAACAUCAUGGCGCCAGGAACCGAAUUUCAAUAUAUUAUAUAUCCAUCGAUAGAAGUAGAUGCCAAAAUCAUAUGCUGCCGACCGGCGAACUUCUAGUGUACAACAUCACACGCACCGAUGCGACCCAAGUUUAUCGCUGCCGCAGCCAUCACAAGCUGACGCAGGUCUCCCUUGCUAGCAGCAUAUGUGCAAAAUUCAAUUGACUUGUAAGUUAACUACCGCAACAAUAAUACUAACAACAAAUAGUGGCUAUGCAGCAUCGCAAAAGCCAUGCACGCUUGACCCCACCACACGUCAUUAGUUUGUUGUUCGCCAAAAGUAUAUUUUCUACUCGCAUGUUCUAGUAUAAUGCGUUUGGGAAAAGAAGCAAGAAGCUAAUGCCAAAAAUCUCUAAAUUAUCUAGUGAAAGAAGUCAAAAUUAUAUAAAUUAUUGAUAUAAAAAACCUUAUUUAUUUUAAAAUUUUGAACUACUUACUUGCCUUUGAGUUAAUAAAAAUGUUCCUUUAUCUUACCGUUUUGUCAAAUAUUAUUGCAUCUAUGUAUAUACAGUGUUGUAUAAAUUAGUAUUAUUUUUUUGAGAUUUUGGAAAAUCCGGUUGAAUGUAAGUCACACAUUAAGGUUUUGCCUUCAAGUCUGGCACAUCGAUCGCUUCGUGUAUAUAUGAGGGUUCUUAUAGCUACACCUAGUAAAGGACACACCUUCUAAAGGACCGGUGUUAUAAUGUUUGAAAGGUAUCCUCGUAAUCUUUUUCGAGGAAUAAUUUUCGAAACCAAUCUAGAUGCUUCGUUACAUAAUCUGGUGGUAAUUAUAUUAACUAAUUGAAAUACGUGUGAUGCUAGAAGAGAGUUCGCCCUUAGCCUAUCUGUUAUUCCUCUAGAAUCUAUUUACAAGUCUUUUAAUGCCGCUUACAUUAAAAAAUUCUGAUGUGUGCGACCACUGAGGUACUUGGAGUUGAAUUUUUGAAAUCAGAAAUCAGUUUUUUUUGGGAAAAGUAUUUUAUAAGUUAUAAUGUACCCCUUUAAAUGUUAAAUAUAUAUAUCUGAAACAAAAUAUUCAGCAAAAAACUUAACAGCAAUCCACAGUUUGACUCUGGAUCUCUAAAAAUUCCUCAUAUUUUCCUUGUAAUUAGAAAAAAAAGAAAGUUCUAUUUGAGACUUUCCACCACAAAACUAAUUUUGACAAUGACUUGACAAAAAUCUUGUCGAAGAUUAUGCUGAGCCCUAAUACAGCAGACAAAGGUGUAUCAUUCUACAUGAUAUCUAUAGUAAUUAAUAAAGCCGGGGAUUUUGAUGGAGCAUGGGAGGAGCAUCUGUCGAGGUAAGAGAUUUACAAAAUAGAUGAAACGAUUUUUUUUUUACCUGGGCCUCUUUUGUGUUCUUUCAGCUGGGGUCUUUAAAAAACUCUACCUAAUUGUUGUUGUUGUUGGUAGGAAAUGCAUAUGUAAUUGCCGUUAGUGAAUUUUAAUUUAGUUUCAUUUGCACUGAUUUCUUGCAGAAUCUGGUCUAUCGGACCUAGAUUUUCUGGUAUGAAAAUAUUAAAACUAUAACAAAGCUGGAAUUAAAUAAUAAUUCGUUUUUACUUAAAAAUUUAUAAUUUUAGUUAUUUUUCUGUUAUAGUUGUCCGUCUUUCGUUCGGUUAACGGUUAACUCAGUUUUAGUAAUCUAAUAAAAUAAUUGUACUUAAAUCAUAGUUUUAAUGUUUCUUAGUCAACUGUCUUCAAAGCAAUACCAUGUACAGAUUUGCUUUAUAAAUGCAGGCUUUGGUAUUCCUAAUUUACGCCUUCACAAGAUUUCAAUCUUGUACUGAGUUCUCUUUCAUUAAUAACAAUCCAACUAAAAUAUCUUUUUAACAUUUAGCUAAUCAGCUCUCAUUCAACAAACACGACGUUCAUUCAACAAUUGUGCCUGAUGGAGCCCCAACAAGUAACCUCAAAUAAGUAUAUCUGAUGAAAGAAAAGACUAACUCCGGCUAUCUGCGGACAUCUGAAACUACAAAGAUAUACCUAUGCAAAGAGAUUGAGCCACAACUAAUCUACAAAUUUAUUAUGAACCAGGACCAUUACUCUUGCUGAAGUACAGCGCCAGUGACAAUCCAACACCGAAAAUUGGCUGGCACAUGGACGGACUUCCGUUACCAAAUAACGGUCGUCUCAUGAUUGACCAAUAUUUCGAAAUGUUUGGCGAUGUUAUAAGCCAUGUCAACAUGCAUAUCUGCGGUGAAGUCAAAGGAUGGCAGUGAAUACAAGUGCAAAGCAAUAUCGCGAGAAGGUGAUCCAUCGCAUUUGGUACGUUUGAACUUCUACGGUUAGUGGAGCUAAUAGGAUGUGCUUAACUACCGGAAUAUUUCGUCUGGAAUGAACAUCGUGACAGGUAUGCCAUAUGUGCGCAUGAUGCCGGAACUAUCUGCAGUAGCGGAAAAAAACUUAUUUUCAAUUGUCCUGCGGCAGGAUAUCCAAUCGUCAGCAUCAUCAUAGAGAAAGCUAUAAAAUGAAAUGGGAUUUUGUUCCCAGAGCUGCUAUCCGACACGAAGAUCAUGGUGUGUGGAGGAAUUUAGAAGAAGUGGCGAUCUCAUCCACUAAAUAAACGGAAGACGACAAUUUCAGACAAUCACCACACCACACAUGGCCCUAAAUACAGGAACUGUGGACUUUUAAUUGUCCGUGGAGUGGCAAUGAGAUUGGUGUGCGAAAUUCACAUAAAUGAAAUAUCUUUAUGCUGAAGUUGGAAGUUUUUACUUUGCUAAGAAAGCUGACUACUGAGUUCAACUCUCUGCUAAUGAACUAUCUAAGUUCUUUGCUAAAACCUAUAAGAAGAAAGUAAAAAAUUGUAACGGUUUGUAACGCUUAUAAUAAAAAUAAAUAAAAUGUAUAAACUAAA